UACGUAGGGCGCAAGCGUUAUCCGGAAUUAUUGGGCGUAAAGAGCUCGUAGGCGGUUUGUCGCGUCUGCCGUGAAAGUCCGGGGCUCAACUCCGGAUCUGCGGUGGGUACGGGCAGACUAGAGUGAUGUAGGGGAGACUGGAAUUCCUGGUGUAGCGGUGGAAUGCGCAGAUAUCAGGAGGAACACCGGUGGCGAAGGCGGGUCUCUGGGCAGUAACUGACGCUGAGGAGCGAAAGCGUGGUGAGCGAACAGG
rnacentral:rRNA from 1 species